rnacentral:misc_RNA from 1 species
ACAAUUCCCAAAAAUUACUGUAGCUACUUUGUCGUUAAGUCUUUGUCAGGGAAUUUUAAUAAUUCCUCCACUAUGUGUGGACCUGGUUGAUACUUUCCUUCAUGGAAGCGUAAUCCAAGGAAAUCAAUGUCAGUAUGGGCUAACGAGCUUUUCUUCUUAGAUAACAUUAUUCCAUAUGAUUCAACUAUGGACUGGAAUGUUGACAGGAGUGCUUUGUGGGACGGUAUAUCUUUAGAUAAAAGAAGGAUGUCAUCAAUGUAUAUGAGAGCACUGUGGAGUAUGAGCUCAAAUAUCCUAGUCAUGGCUUUUUAAAAAAUG